UUAAUCUUCAAUUCAAUUCACAGUCUAAGACUGGUAAAAACUUAACAGUUCAAGUCCUAACCAAGGACCUAAGCACUGUUAAGGUAACAUCUUGAGUAUAUAGGCAGUUCCGAGUAAGGUGGGUUUUUGCAUCCAGUC